rnacentral:lncRNA from 1 species
AGGGAGGGCAUUAGAAUUCCCUGGAGAGCUUUUCUAAAAUGUAUAUCCCUAGGCCCAAUUCCCAAAAGUUUUUAGAUUUGGGGAGUUAUGCUUGGCACCAAAAUAUGCACAUUUUAUUAAAGGUGUUCAACAAAACUGAUAAAAGCCCCCAGUCAGGAUACACUGAUAAAAAUUAUCUCUUGUGGAGAUGUGAAAUUUCUUUCAUAAUGAGAUUAUAAACUUCUUGAGGACAUGAACCAUGCUUUGUUCUUGUGUAUCUCCCCCACAAUGCUGAGAACAUGGCCACGACUGGAUAACAUUCCUUUUUCUUGUUCGACUACAAGAUCUCUGAGAGUGGGGCCCACAAUACGCAUUGUCAGAGGAUUCAGAGGGACAGAGAUCACAGGUGGAUCAUUCAACUGUUGCCACAAUUAUGCUGUGUAAUAAGUAACUGCAGAACUUCAGCGACAUACAACAAUGUGCAUUUGUUGUUUAGGUAUUUGGGAUCAGCAGGGAUAGGCUAAGCAUCUCUUGGAUCUUUCCUGUGCUUACUCACAUAUAUGUGGGGUGUUAGGCCAAGCUCACUUAACUGUUUACAUUUCAGCAGCUCACUUAUGGAUCCAAGAACUGGCUCUGUUUCAUAAGACUUUGAUAGCUCCUUCUGGGACAUCAGGCUAGUCAACAUGAGUUUUCUGAAGAAAAUAGUAGAGAACAAGAGGACAAAACUAGAUGCAACAAGCCCAUUCCAAGCCUUUAAGUGCAAUCAUUGACCAAAGCAAGUCCCAUGGUAAAAGCUCAUGGAAGGAGAGUACAGCAUAGUUACAUAAACAACUGUGCACAUCAAAAGGUGGGAAGAAGUAUUGUCAUUUUCCCAAGCUACCACAAUGGAACUCGCAUUAAUGUCUCUUCUUUACAGAGCCCACUCUAAUGCUUUUCUGAAGGUCAAUUCUCGUUGUGUAUAAUCCCAAUCAGGAUGUCUCUAAAACAGCCUUACUACCCUUGAGUGAGCAAGUCAGUAAUCUUGUUUGGAGGGGAAAAAUAAGUUUCAAAUAAACAAUCACACUAAUGCCACUUCAUUUGCCAUUAAAUAGAAAAAUACCACCUUGUAUUUCACAGACUUGACAGCACCCAGGUAAUAUGUCACACUUCAUUGAAUGAGAACAUCAACUGCAGAAGACAAAAUGUUUGUUGUUCAAUAAGAUUAUCUACUACAUGAACAAGGUUUGUGGAAUUGUCAGCAUGAUGUGUUUGAAUUCAGGAAAUUAAACCAAGAACUGUGACUGAAAAUGUUAAAAACACCACAAAUUUGCUUUGAAAUGAUACAGCAUCUUGUCUUCACUUGUGAUUUGACCACUGGUUUCAUCUUUAUUACCUGUGGUGCUGCUUAGUGAACUAUUGCAAAGCAGCCCAUGCAGUCUAUCAUGGAAGUUCAAUUUAGUGUUGCCAGAGAAUCAUCUGGGGGCUGAUGAUUCCUUGGCUUCCAGCAAGGCCACACCAUCUCUUUGUCUAAGGAACCUUAUCUCCUAAAAAGCCAGGGAAUUAUAACAGAGUAGCAAUUAUAUAACUUAUGCUCCUAUCUGUCUAUCUCUCUCUCUAUCUAUCCAUCCAUGUGUUCAUCACCAAAAUAAUAGCUAAAUUACUAUGACUAUUUUUUCUAAAUUAAUGUACUCAUUUUCCAUCGAUUCUUUAUUUACCCUCAAGGUAGGUACUUCAUUAACUCCUGGGGAGUGAGAUUGAUCAGCAAAACAAAUAUUAUAUAAACUGUAGAAAGGAAAAUUGCUUUCUAAUCCUACUUUGUCCUUACUUUUUCAUGGGAUUUUAGGUAAAUCUCUUAACUAAUCAAUAUUCUUAUCUAUAAAAGCAGACAGUUUGUAUAUAUGAAUGGCAAGGGUCUUUGCCUUUGUAGCCCAAUAAUAGAUGAAGGGUCUAAAGUAAACUCUGGGUCAAUAAAAUAUAUACAUUUUUGUUUAUAUAGGAGAGGGCAAUGUAGAAUCACCCUGUAGGGGCAGGUUUGUCUUUUUAUUAAAGUUGUUAAGCUGAGUUUUGCUUGGUUUUCCUUUCUACGAGGAAGGAAAUUAACUUGUAGGAUAAAAGAAAAGGCAACACAGAGACACAAACAAAGAUGUGAGUUUGUGCAAUAUAUCUAGUAGAGUUCAGUUUCACUACCUGGCAUUGAUGGACAAAAAUAAGUGAGACAAAUUGGUAUUUACAUAUAACCAAAAAGUUUCUUUUGGGAUUUUCUAAGUAUUAGAGAAAAGAAGAGCUGAGAGAGGCUUAAUAAACUCUUUCUCUGACAAAAGGAGACGUUUGAGAUUUUUCCAUGAAUGUGAUGAUGAUGCAGCCAGGGAACACACCCAUUUUCCUGGAAAGUCAAGAGUCUUAGCAUUCCACAGUAUUCAGGACCAUCCCUCCUGCACACAUGCAAACAUACAUGACUGAUUCGUCUCUAGGCAACACAGCACCAUUGGGAGCAGGCUGGUGACAAAGCUAGGUCCUCAGGCAAGUGGAGGUUAAAAGUUCAAUUUCACUUUCUCAAGUGGAAAAUUCUGUGUACUAACAUUGUAGUCUCUUUUUUAGUCACAAAGAGGGAAUAAUUGAGUUGGAAUUGGGGAAAAAACUUUUGUUUUAGUUCCCUUAGGUAUUUUUUGGUAGAGCUUUGUACCUGGUGCCACUUGCCACAAAGAAAAUCUAGCAAGCACUUGGACAAACUACUCUGGGCCUAGGACACCAGGUAAUUAAGGGAAGUUGUCUGGAUGGUUCAAAAGGAGGAUGAGAGGAACAAUAGCUGGUCUUCCACUUGGGACCAGCCCGUGUUAACCUUGGAGGAAGUGGAGACUAUAAUAGGAAUAAAGCUAGUGGCAGAAAAUUAAUUAUUUCAAAAUGUUUGUUUUCAACACAGUUUGAAUUGUGGUGCCUUGUAUGUGGAUACAUAAGCAAUACCUAAAAAAAUACAAUGCUAUGAAUGUUUAACAGUCAAAUGAUAUCUUGAUGUCAUUGCCACUCAUAUGUACAUGCAUUUUUAACUUGAUUUGACUGCUGCAGUGGGACAUGCUAAAAUUGAAGCAUAGUUAUUUCCAAGACUUAGAAGUUUAAAAAUUCAAGCUACAUGGUGUUGUCUUGGGAUGAAGAAAUCAAUCCUGUAAUGGCAAAAAGGGAAAAGCAUGGAAAAAUAGAUAAUUAUUGCCUAAAUUUAUAAUUUGAUAUUCACAUUUCAGAGAUUACCAAUAUAUUCAACAAGAAAAAGCAAUAAAAUAUUUUUCAGGGGACACCCUGUGCAAGAGGAAUAGUAUACUGUUUAAUUUGCAUGUAGAAAAGUUGGGGUCCUUGUUUCCACAAAAAGAGAAAUUGUGAUUAAAUAAGGGUAAUUGGUGAUGCUCAGUGAGAACAUUUGAUUGUGUGACUCAUGUUUUGGAACACCGCUGCCCUAUCAGAAAACUAGACUGAGACCCUCCUAUUGCUGGGAAUUGUCUAAUUAGAUGACAGGUUUUAAUUAGAUAGGACUCUUCAGCCUGCUUACUCUCUGCCUUUAUCUCUCCAUGAGCUAUUUCCCCAUCAGAAGGAUGUGGUAGCUAUAAUUAUUCCAGUCAUCCUAAAGAAAAUGUUUUAAAGUACAGUAGUUAGCUGUCAAAAUGAAAGGCUAAUUUCCAGUUAUGAGAGCAUUUUCCAAACGGAAAUCUUCCUUUCAUUCUGGAUAGACAUUUUUGUGUCCAUUUCUAGCUUUAUUAGACUCCAUUUUCUCCUUCCUGGACAGCUAAUUUCUUUUGUAACUGUUGAGAAUUAAAGGAAUUCCUCAAUUCCAGAAAUGUUUCCAGCUGUUUUAACUCUAGCCAGACUGUCUACAUUACCUAAAAAAGUACCUAAAGACAUGGCACAUGUAAUAAAAAUUGCCUAGCAAGAGCAUAAUGGAACCAAAUAAUUUGGAAGAAUUUCUCAUAAUACAUGGUAUUUUAAUAGAUAUAAAGUAAAAAGAAAAUCAAUGGUAUAAUAUUUGGGCAAUUAAGAGCUAAA